AAAUUCCAGAUGACACGAUGCUCACUUGUUCGCGAGGCUCAGACAGUGCACUCGAGUUCCUUUCCACCUGCAAAUUAUCAAACUUAACCGUGAAGGCCGAGCUCGGUUGCUGCUUGCUUCAUCGAUGAUGCUCACUUGUUCGCGAGGCUCAGACAGUGCACUCGAGUUCCUUUCCACCUGCAAAUUAUCAAACUUAACCGUGAAGGCCGAGCUCGGUUGCUGCUUGCUUCAUCGAAGCGGAAGGCUGAUCAUAGACGGAUGCUUACUCCAAUGCGAGUCCAACCCUCUCGAUUUUCUCUCAUGUCCCAUCGUAAGUACCGCCUG
rnacentral:lncRNA from 1 species